ACAGUAGCUUUGUAUGUUACUAAUCCGGGCCAAAUUGUCCCAACCCAGCCCAGGUGACCGUACAGGCAGCCCAAUUAUCGCGCCUGAUAAAAUGCCAAUAUGCCACUCCCUCAAUGGCGGAAGCUUACCGAACUUGAAUCAUGGGACUAUGAGAGCGGCGGCCCGCGUGAGGCGACCGCGGCUGCAACGGCCGCUGCUGGAGCCGGCGCGGCCAUCUCUUUCGCCGGCGGCGAGGGCCAAGACGGAGAAGGCACCCGCUCCCCUAACCCUUCCUCUGAAGGCCUUCAAGCUCCGCCUGGCCAACGGCCCACCGCUGGCGCCAACAGCGAAGGCCUUCAAGUCCUACGCCGAGACCUGCGCCUCCCUGCUCCGCCUCUGCCGUCAUGCCGCCGCCGACGCCAGCAACCGGCCUACUUCCUCGGUCUCCUCCGCCCUGCCGCUCGUCCUCUCGUUGCACGCGCACGCUCUCCGCUCCGGCCUCGGCGCCGACUGCUCCGUCGCAUCGAACCUCCUCACCGCCUACGCCGCAUUCGCCCGCGCCGCAGACCGCGACCGGGCCUUCCGCGACUGCGUCGCCUGCGGUGCGGCCUCCUCCUUCGUGUACGACUUUAUGGUGUCGGAGCACGUGAAGGCCGGGGACAUCGCCGCAGCUCGCAGGCUGUUCGACAGAAUGCCCGAUCGGAGCGUCGUGUCGUACACAACCAUGGUGGACGCGCUCAUGAAGUGCGGGUCUGUGAGGGACGCGGUUGAGCUGUAUGAGCGAUGCCCGCUCCACUCAGUUGCCUUCUUCACCGCGAUGAUUUCUGGGUUUGUACGGAAUGAACUCCACAGCUAUGCACUCCCAGUGUUUCGCAAGAUGCUAAGCUGCAGUGUGAGACCUAAUGUGGUUACACUGAUUUGUGUGAUCAAGGCUUGUGUGGGUGCAGGUGAAUUUGAUCUGGCCAUGGGUGUGGUGGGAUUGGCGAUCAAAUGGAACUUGUUUGAGAAGAGUAUUGAGGUACACAAUUCUUUGAUCACUCUGUAUCUAAGAAUGGGAGAUGCAGCUGCAGCGCACAAGGUGUUUGAUGAGAUGGAGGUGAGGGAUGUCGUCUCAUGGACUGCAUUACUUGAUGUGUAUGCUGAGUUGGGUGACCUUGAGGGAGCUCGAUGGGUCCUUGAUGCAAUGCCUGAGAGGAAUGAGGUCUCGUGGGGUACUUUGAUUGCAAGGCAUGAGCAGAAAGGUGAUGCUGCAGAAGCAGUAAGGCUUUACAGUCAAAUGCUCGCUGACAGUUGUAGGCCAAACAUUUCAUGCUUCUCCAGUGUGCUCAGUGCUUGUGGUACCCUUCAAGAAUUAAGAGGGGGAACUCAGAUACAUGCCAAUGCCCUGAAGAUGGGUUCUACCAGCAGUUUGUUUGUAUCCAGCUCUUUGAUUGAUAUGUACUGCAAAUGCAAGCAGUGCACUUAUGCUCAGAGGAUAUUUGAUUCCCUCCCACAAAAGAGCAUAGUAUGCUGGAACUCUCUUAUUUCAGGUUAUAGCUGGAAUGGCAAAAUGGUGGAGGCAGAUGAGCUCUUCAAGAAGAUGCCUGCAAGGAACGCAGCUUCAUGGAACACGAUUAUUUCUGGUUAUGCAGAAAAUCGACGUUUUGUUGAUGCACUAAAAUCUUUCAGUGCAAUGUUGGCUUCAGGGCAGAUUCCAGGAGAAAUUACCUUGUCAAGUGUUCUUCUUGCAUGUGCAAACUUGUGCUCUUUAGAGAUGGGCAAGAUGGUUCAUGCUAAGAUUGUCAAGCUUGGAAUCGAAGAUAACAUCUUUAUGGGGACUGCACUCAGUGACAUGUAUGCCAAGUCAGGGGAUUUGGACAGCUCCAAGAGGAUAUUUUAUCAAAUGCCUGAAAAAAAUAAUAUCACUUGGACUGCCAUGGUUCAGGGACUUGCAGAAAAUGGCUUUGCAGAAGAGUCUAUUUUGUUGUUUGAGAAUAUGAUGGCAAAUGGAAUAUCACCUAAUGAGCAUACAUUUUUAGCUAUUCUAUUUGCUUGCUCCCACAGUGGUUUGGUGGAACAAGCCAUACAUUAUUUUGAAACAAUGCAAGCGCAUGCCAUCCCACCUAAACUGAAGCACUACACCUGCAUGGUAGAUGUCCUAGCUCGAGCUGGUCGUUUGACAGAAGCUGAAGAACUUCUCAUGAAGGUUCCAAUUAACUUUGAAGCAAAUGCAUGGUCAGCUCUUCUGAGUGCUUGCAACACUUACAGCAACAAGGAGAUUGGUGAGAGGGCAGCAAAGAAACUUCAUGAGUUGGAGAGGGAUAAUACAGCGGGCUAUGUGCUACUCUCGAACAUGUAUGCAUCUUGUGGAAAAUGGAAAGAUGCUGCUGAGAUGAGGAUACUGAUGAAAGGAGCUAGCCUUAAGAAAGAUGGUGGGUGCAGCUGGUUACAGUUAAGGGGACAAUAUCACGCCUUCUUUUCUUGGGAAGCAAAGCAUCCAUUGUCAUUGGAAAUUUAUGAAAUCUUGGAUCUGCUGAUGUGGGAAUCAACUGUUUGAGUUUAUUUGGUGGUUUGCUACGAAAGGGACAAUUUUCUGAGAAAAUGAGGAUUCCCGUGUCUUCUCCAAAUUCAUGAAGACAAAUAGCAGCACAGAGUUGUUUAUGGUUAAUUAUUGGAAGGGAAAUACUUCCCAGAUACUGGUUUCUCGAGUCUUGAUGCAAUGAGUUACCCAAGUAUUCAAGGAUAUAUGCUUCUUAAGAAUCAUGAGCAACUUCUGGGUAGAUCUUGGUUCGUGAAUGAUUUCAUGGAGGAGAAUGAUGUUCUAAAGCCACUGCAAAUUAGUUCAUUGAUUUUGAUCCUGAAGCAUUUGGUAAUGCAUUAUGGUAUACAUGAUUUGAUGUAAACCAGCUUCAAAAAAACAACAGAGAAAAUGCAACACCCCUUGCCGAAAAGUCUUAUUCUUCGAUUUCUGAGUUGCCAUCAUCAUCAUCAGUUAAUAAAAACUCAGAUGCACAUGUGUUUCACUUUCAGCAGUCUAGCAGUCAGUGUCCUGUUGCACUACUCACCGACUGAACCGCAGGUUAACCUGAUCGGUGGCAAGCCAUCAUCUGCCGCCUGCCGGUGUGUACGCGCGGGCGCGGCUUGACUCUCCGCGCCCGCCCGUCCGACCCGUCACCCGUGAGGCCCGGACACCUCAGCGGCUCGGUGGUUCAAGUCGGCGGGCCCGCUCUUUUCUUUCUUCCGAACCUUCACCACUCUGCCCAUCCGAGUAUCCGACGCGCAAUCAGCGUCGGGCCAAGCCAAGGCACCAUCACUGAAUCGCAAAACGCGUCGCCCUCAGGGGUCA